rnacentral:rRNA from 1 species
UACGUAGGGUGCGAGCGUUAAUCGGAAUUACUGGGCGUAAAGUGUGCGCAGGCGGCCGAGCAAGUCGAGUGUGAAAGCCCCGAGCUUAACUUGGGAACUGCGCUUGUGACUGCAAGGCUAGAGUGCGGCAGAGGGGGGUGGAAUUCCAGGUGUAGCAGUGAAAUGCGUAGAUAUCUGGAGGAACACCGAUGGCGAAGGCAGCCCCCUGGGCCAGCACUGACGCUCAUACACGAAAGCGUGGGGAGCAAACAGG